rnacentral:rRNA from 1 species
GAUCUGCGAUUACUAGCGACUCCGACUUCAUGAGGUCGAGUUGCAGACCUCAAUCCGAACUGGGACCGGCUUUUUGGGAUUCGCUCCACCUCACGGUAUUGCAGCCCUUUGUACCGGCCAUUGUAGCAUGCGUGAAGCCCAAGACAUAAGGGGCAUGAUGAUUUGACGUCAUCCCCACCUUCCUCCGAGUUGACCCCGGCAGUAUCCCAUGAGUUCCCACCAUUACGUGCUGGCAACAUAGAACGAGGGUUGCGCUCGUUGCGGGACUUAACCCAACAUCUCACGACACGAGCUGACGACAACCAUGCACCACCUGUAUACGAGUGUCCAAAGAGUUCUACAUUUCUGCAGCGUUCUCGUAUAUGUCAAGCCUUGGUAAGGUUCUUCGCGUUGCAUCGAAUUAAUCCGCAUGCUCCGCCGCUUGUGCGGGUCCCCGUCAAUUCCUUUGAGUUUUAGCCUUGCGGCCGUACUCCCCAGGCGGGGAACUUAAUGCGUUAGCUGCGUCACGGAAACCGUGGAAUGGUCCCCACAACUAGUUCCCAACGUUUACGGGGUGGACUACCAGGGUAUCUAAGCCUGUUUGCUCCCCACCCUUUCGCUCCUCAGCGUCAGUUACGGCCCAGAGAUCUGCCUUCGCCAUCGGUGUUCCUCCUGAUAUCUGCGCAUUCCACCGCUACACCAGGAAUUCCAAUCUCCCCUACCGCACUCUAGUCUGCCCGUACCCACUGCAGGCUGGAGGUUGAGCCUCCAGUUUUCACAGCAGACGCGACAAACCGCCUACGAGCUCUUUACGCCCAAUAAUUCCGGAUAACGCUUGCGCCCUACGUAUUACCGCGGCUGCUGGCACGUAGUUAGCCGGCGCUUUUUCUGCAAGUACCGUCACUUUCGCUUCUUCCUUGCUAAAAGAGGUUUACAACCCCGAAGGCCGUCAUCCCUCACGCGGCGUUGCUGCAUCAGGCUUUCGCCCAUUGUGCAAUAUUCCCCACUGCUGCCUCCCGUAGGAGUCUGGGGCCGUGUCUCAGUCCCAGUGGGGGCCGGUCACCCUCUCAAGGCCGGCUACCCGUCCAACGCCUUGGGGGAGCCAUUACCUCACCCAACAAGCUUGAU